rnacentral:lncRNA from 1 species
GGCAUAUAACCAAUUAGUAAUAAAAAGUAAAUUAAUUUUAUUUCAGAUAUGCUCUAAAUUCCAAAAAAAGCAUAGGAGAAGGAAGAGACUUCUUAUCUGGAUACAAAUAUUUUAAUGUAACCAAAUAACUAAAUUUUAUAAAACAAGUAUGAAAUUUAACCUAAUUUAUGAGUAAAAACAUAUGCCAAAAAGAGUAAACUGGGAUGCAUCAAUCUCCUGAGAAUUUGAGACACAAAUAGUUUUAAACACAUAUGAAAAUGGGUACUUCUAAUAACAAAUAAGUAAUAAAGGAAUGUGACUUUUAGAAAUAAGUCCAUUUAAAUACCAUCUGUGAACAAUAAAUUCUUCAAACUCUUUCAGAGCUGCCGGUGGCUGGAGCCCUGUCCUCCGAAUGGAUGAGAGGCAGCUACCCGCCAAGGCUUCAGGUGACAUCACAAGAAAUGGCGCGGAUCCUUAUUGCCCUGUGCCUUGGCUUCCGCAUCAGCGAACUCCGCCUUCGGUCUUCCAGGCGGCCCGUACUGCUUAGUCGGCAGAGGGAGAUUUGGCUACAAAAAAAAAAGAAGACAAUGUGAUCUUGAAUCAGGAUGCUACGCUGGUGACUUUGAAAACGGGAGGAGGAGGCCGGGCGCGGUGCCUCACGCCUGUAAUCCCAGCACUUUGGGAGGCCGAGGCGGGCUGAUCACGAGGUCAGGAGAUCGAGACCAUCCUGGCUAGUACGGUGAAACCCCGUCUUUACUAAAAGUACAAAAAAUUAGCCGAGCGUGGUGGCGGGUGCCUGUAAUCCCAGCUACGGGAGGCUGAGGCAGGAGAAUGGCGUGAACCCGGGAGGCGGAGCUUGCAGUGAGCCGAGAUGGCGCCACUGCACUCCAGCCUGGGUGACAGAGCGAGACUCUGUCUCAAAAAAAAAAAAAAGAAAAAAAAGAAAAGAAAAGAAAAGAAAAGAAAAGAAAAGAAAGAAAGAAAAUGGGAGGGGGAGCUAUGAGCCAAGGAAUGUCCCUGUAGAACCUGGGAAGGCCAAGGAAAGCUGCUUCUCCUCUGGUGCUUCUGGAGGGUGUCAGACACCCUGUUUGACAUUUUCAUUUUGGUCCACCGAAACUGAUUGCAGAUUUCUGACCCCUAGACCUGUAAGGGAAUAAAGACAUAUUGUUUUAAGCACCAGACCUGGGUUUAAGAGAGCUUGAGUUGAGUUUAGUGAAACAAAUUACCCAAGCUGAAGUAGAGAGCGAGAGAGGGAGAGAGAGAGACCCAUAAGGAGAUAUUUCUGCCCAGUUUCCAUUUCGCGUGGGUGGCACACGUGACAACCACUGCAUUACAAAAACCACCGUUCACCCAGGAGCUAUCUUUAAAAUUUAAAAUGGACAUUUCCUGAAUGGCUCACGUUCAGUAUUGUGAAAUUAUUGUUUCUUUUAGAGCAUUUUCAUAUUUGUGGCCCUUUUUUUCUUUCCUUAUAUAUUCCAUUCACCAAAACCAACAAUACCCAAAAUCCAUGAUUCAAGACCAAGGAAGGCUUUCGCCCAGUGACCCACAUCCUCAUAAAUACCAUGUCAUCAUGUCAGGAAAUUUCAGGCAGAAUAAGGAGGAAUUUUAUUUCAAGACCAUUGUCCAUACUGUGCUAUGCCUUUUUCUGUAUCCUUCCAACACACCCAAACAUUAACCUCUUGAUUACAGAAAAAAAGACUUUUUAGAAACCAGGACCCCAAGGGAGGGGCUUUGGCGACAUUUAGCAUUUUCUGUCAAGGAAACGCUUUGCCAUAAGAAACUGUGGAGUGAGGUGGGGUCAGGGGGCCACCUGUGACCAAUUAUCUUCCUGGCCAGCAAGAGGGCAGGGGACUGAGUGUAAUCAGGUGUCUUCCAAGAGGUGGCAAGUGUGCCAAUCAGAUAAUUUAACUUAGUUUCUUCCCCUCUUCACACAAUUUGCCACCAUUCCCUCUGGCAUUAGUCAUUCAGCUACUGCCUCACCCACUGUAUUUUGUGUAACUCUGUAAUUUUAAUUUUGGUAUUGUACUAUACAUCCUGAUAUACAUUUUGUUUCUUAGAUUUUACUUUGCACUGAAAAAUCCACCUGUUUUUGGUAUACAUGUACCUCUGCUUCAUUAGUUGUGACUCCUGCAGAGCAUGAAACUUCACACAAACUUGUAUUCACUGCAGUACUUACUCAUUCUGGUGAUGGACAUGCAGGUUGCCCCAACUCUCUGCUGCCUGAAAUUGCUGCAAUGACUGGAUUCUAUGAAGCCACUACAGAGCUAAGCUGGAAUUUCACUGAUAGACAUUCGUAGAAGUGGGAUUGCUGGGUACUCAUCAAAAAGGCUAUACAGAAAUAAACACUUGUUUAAUGCCCAUACCGUGAAAUCUAAGACCUAGAUUGUUAAGAUUAAGAUCUUACCUUUAUUUCAUGUAGAAAUUCAUACUUGUAAGAUUUUUAGUAUGACAAAUCAAAACACAGGAAGUACACCUAACUCACACUGGUCUCAGAAAAAUUCCCAGGGGAAAGUGCCUUGAGGUAAAGCUAAAAUAAUGAGUAAACUUAUGGUAAAGAACGAAGGAUUUGGGAGAAUCAUCCAAUUGAAUGAAAAUUAGACAGCAUGAAAUGUCCUCCCAUAGUAAUUGAAUCCAUCAGCAGUGACCUAAACCUGUGAAUCCAGAGAGCUUACAUGGCUCUGUCACUCCCACAACCCUCAGAGCCUGAUUUCAGCCCUUUGGGGAGAGUUUUGAUUGGCUCUAGGGCUUUCUAAGGGAUGCAGGAUAAAUUACCUGACUUUAACACCUUCUCUGUGGAUUUUUCUGGGCCAAAUCCACAGAAGUGAAACACUAGAAACUUCCUUCUUCAGUUCUUUGAAUUCAGUUUUAAGAUCAGUGAUAUUUUUCUGUGAGGAAGCUGCCUCUCUUUUUAGUUAGACAGAGGUACAAGGCAGGAAAAGACUUUUUCUUUUCCCUUUUUUUCUGUUUCCUUAAAACACACAAGAUUGAGCUCAGGCAUUCUCUUUAUCAAACUCUUCCUGUAGCUGAAAGAGGGUCUGGCUGAUUGUCACUUGUAGAAAAAAGCCAAAAGAACAAGAAUGAGGCCGGGCGUGGUGGCUCAUGCCUGUAAUCCCAGGACUUUGGGAGGCCGAGGCGGACGGAUCACGAGGUCAGGAGUUUGAGACCAGCCUCGCCUAUAUGGUGAAACCCCGUCUCUACUAAAAAUACAAAAAUUAGCUGGGUGUGCUGGCGUGCGCCUGUACUCCCAGCUACUCAGGAGGCUCAGGCAGAAGAAUCGCUUGAACCCAGGAGGCAGGGCUGCAGUGAGCUGAGAUCGUGCCACUGCACUCCAGCCUGGGCAACAGAGUGAGACUCCAUCUCAAAAAAAAAAAAAAAAAAAAGAAAAAAAAAGGAAUGAGGUGUAAUUAAAAAUAGAGUAAGUUUUAUUAUCCAUGCUAGCAAUGGGGAGAGUGGCUGGCCAAAAUUUGCCACUCUCCAAUUUCUGGAGAGAGGCCAAGCAUUUCAAGGAGAGGAGCUUGUAAUGCAGAGGGGCAAGAGGCAGGAGGUGCCCAGUGGGUGUCUCAUUCUGAUGGCUUAUCUUGAAUUAUUGUUUCACCUGGUGAAGGGGCCAGUGACAUUGUAGGCCCAAUCAAGUUACAAAUUAAUGACAGUCAAUCUUGCAGAUAAUCUCUAGCCAAGAGUGAAUAUUGUCCUUGAAUUAAUCUCCUACUGGAGAGAGAAUUCUGGAGAUGUCUGGUCUGCAUCAGGAUUCAGCCCCUGAAGCUUCUAAGGAAAUAUAUGACCAGAUAAGUGGGCAUGGUAUGAGCUUAACAAGCAUCCAGGUAAAUAAAUGAGCAUAAGGCAUGGGGGCAUAAGAUGCGAAAGGGAAGGCAGUUUUAAUGCCCAUUCCAAGGCAGUAAUUGACGACAAAAGAAAGCACAUCUGCAGUUUGUCUCAAAGCUAUGUCUAGAAACUGGGGAGAAAGAAGAAAAGAAACAAAGUUUUUAAAACGUGGUUUGAAGCUAAGCUGCUUGGUUACCUUCCAACCUUCUGCAAGAUUUUGCUGUUUUUUGUUAUUAUUAAAACAAGUAAUAGGCCAGGCGCAGUGGCUCACACUUGUAAUCCCAGCACUGUGGGAGGCUGAGUCAGGCAGAUCACUGGAACUCAGGAGUUCGGAGGGGGAAAAAAACCAAGCCUGCGCGCUCUGAGCCCCACCCCCCAUUCCCCAUGGUGUCUGAGUAGGCUCCCAGGGCGAGCAGGAUCCCUCCUCACAGGCGAGACUGGCUUCCUUGGAAAACCAAUAGUCGGACUUGCGAGUUUUCCUCCAAGAUAAUUUUCUCAGGGACUUCUAAAUGUGGUGCUGUACGCCUAUGGUCCUAGCUACUUGGCAGGCUGAAGUCGAAGGAUUGCUUGAGCCCUGGAGGUCUAAGCUGUAGUGAGCCGAGAUCGCGGCCACUGCACUCCAGCUUGGGUGACAGAGCAAGACUCUGUCAAAACAAACAAACAAAACACACACACACACACAAUGUAAACCAGGAAUAGAAGGAAACUUCCUCAACUUGAUAAUGCCCAAUUAUGAAAAACAUACAACUAAUAUCAUUCUCAACAGCGAAAGACUGAAAAUUUUUCUCCUACAAUCAGGAAUAAUGGGUGCCCACUUUCACCAUGUUAUUCAGCACAGUAUUGGCAAGGAAAAAGUAAAAUUAUCUAUGUUCACAGAUAACAUGACUUUU